ensembl:lncRNA
UAGGAAGCCGAGGGAGUGUGUGAGCCCAGCAGGCCGGGAAACUGGGGCCCGAAACCCCCGAGGGACAGCAUGAGAGGGAAGAGGAACAUCGGCUGGACGUCUUUCAGGGAGCAGUGAGACGCUGGCGUGGUCUUCCAAGCCUACUCCCGCAGAGGAUGAGGGCAUUGGUUUUGGGAGAAACUGAACCAGAAAUCUCUGUCCUGGGAGCAGCAGUCACAGGACUAAGGUUCAGGGUAGGGCCCAGGCUGAAAGCGGGGAUUCGGGGAAAGUCUACCCACUGAGUGAGGCCCAGCACACGCGGGGUGAAGAACCCCAAAGUCUUGCUCCGGCCCUGAAAUGACCUUGAGCUCCCGCACAGCGACACUGCAGGGUCAGAAGCCUGUGCAGCGGCGUCUUCAGACGUUUCAGGGAAAUAAAUGCCUUCUGGGCCGGAAACCUGCUCCAGCCGCGUACUCCUUGCCCUUACUGGUGGAGCUUGGAUGAUCGCCCACCCUGUAGUCCUUAGGUCUCUGCGCCUUCUCUGAGCUUCCUACGGGGUGGGGCGGGGCUGGCGGGGGUGCUGCGCUGCUUCGGAAGGAGCUUGGUUCCCAAGGCAGGAGAACCCCAGGAGGACGCGGAGGAAGCCUCCAGGACGCAGGUGGUGAAAGAUCUGCAGGCUGUGUGAAGGACACUCACGCCUUGACUUCCACAGUCCUCCUUCGCUUCUCAGCAGUUUUGGUGUCUGGCUCCAGACUCCGUGGCUCUCCUGCUCUCUCCAGCUCGCAGGCCUGUCCUUGGCUACAAAGGGCAAAGUGUGGCGACUGGUGGUAGGACCAGAGAGGAAUGAGCGUCGUCAUCUCUCACAGGCACCGAGAGGUUUGGCUCCGUGGUUUUUGUGCAGGAAGAAUUCCCCAGCCUUCUCUUUUGUUUUUCCCCCUUACUAAUAUUAUUUUUUCAGCUGUUUACCCCCACGAAUGAAAAAAAGUAUUUUUCUUCACUACUGCGCCUGCUACCAAAGUGACUCAUUUACAGAUUCAUUUUGGCAGAGGCUGCAGCAUCUGUUAUAAUUUUUACCUGGUCCCCAAGGGCAAAGCUUCUUACCUUGCUGGCUUCAGAGUAUUGUUGAUUGGAGAUCACAAAUAGGAAGGGGACUCAAGGGCUGUUGGCAACAGGAUGGGACCGUGGACAGUUCACGUGCCUGCCUCUGUCAUGAUAGGCACCCAGAAAUAGUUCCUGGAUGGCCAGUGACCAAGUAGGGGAAGCCAUCUCUUCACAGGCUCCCAGCACACGUGUGUGAUGAAGCAGGAUCCAGGCCGUGGCAAGGCACCAGGAUAGGACAAGCGAGGAGGCAGCCCCUCCCUCCGGGGAGUCUGGCCUGCGGGAAGAAAGCAGCCUGACAGCCCUGACUCCAGGGGCCGCUGGAGGAACUCUGGGAGGCUGGAUGUGAAGAGGACAGCCAGGGAUGACCCUUCGGUGAGGUCUCAGGGAUGAACUGGGAAACACUUAUGAUUUUAAAUGAAAAACUUGCCCGAGAGAAGACACAGAAAAAAAUACAAAGAGCUAGGUUCUGAUGAGGAAAUUACCUCUGUGGACCCAGUGCUUUUGACUUCAUCUUCCUUCUGUUCCUGAACUUGCGAACGUGGAGAACAGUGAGGAAAAAGGGUGUCAAAACACUCAGAAAAAUUAAGUGUCAAAUACGUGGAAAUAGUAAUAAAAAAGCACUUUUC